UACAGAGGGUGCGAGCGUUGUCCGGAAUCACUGGGCGUAAAGGGCGCGUAGGCGGUUUUGUAAGUCGGAGGUGAAAUGCUGCGGCUCAACCGCAGCGCUGCCUUCGAGACUGCAAGACUGGAGCACGGUAGAGGCGGAUGGAAUUCCCGGUGUAGCGGUGGAAUGCGUAGAGAUCGGGAAGAACACCAAUGGCGAAGGCAGUCCGCUGGGCCGUUGCUGACGCUGAGGCGCGACAGCGUGGGGAGCAAACAGG
rnacentral:rRNA from 1 species